CAUGCUCUCCGCCGUCCACCUGCCCUGGAUACCCGUCAGCCACAUCCCCCAGACCUGACCUAUCCUCUCCUCUCAUCCAUCCUCAGUUCCAUCUCAACCCCGGCCUGGUUCCCACUUCGUUGAAGUUGCGCCCUUAGUUCCCGUUUGUUUUCCCAGCACCCAUUUGGAGCUGCGUCCUCACUUUAUUACUUUUCCAUUUAAUAAAUCCUUAUUAUUUCUCA